GUGUGCCGCGUCCCGCCCGGAGGUCACACGUGUGGCGUGGAGCGUGGCGUAUUUCCGGGAGAGAUGCCCGAGUUUUACCUCCGAGACACUGCCCACCGGGGCCCGCACCGCCACGGACGAGAGAGAGAGGGAGAGGGAAUAUGCCCAGUCCCCACCGUCCUUCCUUCCACUUCUUCGACACCGACGCCAUCGAGCGGCGCGCCACGUGCCGCCGGCGGCGGUUCGGCCUCACGGAGAGCGGCCGCCUGACGCGGGGAUGGGCGACGGCGGCGCGGCGCGCGGAGCGACAUCGAGCGCCGCCGCUGGAGGUCGCUUCGAGGGGCGGCGGCGUGGGCCGGCCGGCGAGCGCCGCGGGCGGGGCGUGGGCCCUCCUCUCGACGGCGCGCUCGGGGCUUGGUCACCGGCCAGUUCAGCUGCCCGGACGCUGAAGGGCGUGAUCAGGAGGACGCGCAGCUGCGGCAGCGCCUCGUCCGCACCGGCCCGCGGCGCGGGCCGGCUCGUUCCCCGCCAACGCCGUCGAACGGCGUGCCUCGUGCCGCGGCCUUCUUCCGCGCGGCCGGAGGUUCGGCCUCACGGCGAUUGGCGGGCCAUGUCGGCUGCAUUUGGCCGCGCGGGGCGAGCGCCGUCGCUGAGGCUUGCUUCGAGGGGGCAGCGGCAUGGACCGGCCGGUGAGCGCGGCGUACGGGACGUGGCCCCUCCUCUCCGUACCCAAGGCCUUGUGCCUGGUAGGGAGGCUGCCGAAGACGGUGUCCGCGGAGAUGCGGUGGGUGAUCCCCGACGGCGCUUCUGAAGAGGAUGAGGUCGAUAGCUCCGACGACGGUGACCGGGGCACUGCGACCCCACGGUCGCCCUCGGCUCCCGUGGUGGCGGUGGCGGCUACUCGGACGCUCAAGAGGAUGUGGAGGGCGCGCUGCUGCGCCAGCGCUUCGGCCGCGUCGGCUCGUUCGACGUCGAAGCUCCCGAUGUCCCGGUAUGUACCGUCACCAGCUCUCCCCAUCCGCUCCCAGCAGCCACCGUGAAUUAAAUUGGCUUCAGUUUCGUCGCGGGCUUGGUGUUUGAGAUAUUGCCUAGGCGAGAUCUGGUUUCUCUGCAAUGUUGACAUUGCCCUGCCCUGGGGAUGAAUUAGGCACUUCUUUGUUCACUGCACCCUGAGUAGGUGUUGUAGGUAAAUCCCCAAACCGGAUACUUCCAGGAGGAGGAGUUUGCCCCUCAUCUGUUCUUGGCUCAGUAACUAUUGCAGAGAUGAGCUUUCUUGGCUCAGUAACUAUUGCAGAGAUGAGCUUAUCCAGGCGGCUAGCUUGCAUGUUUGUGAAGUAACCUUGCAUGACCAUGAAGUUGGUGCUAACUUGCUUGGAGAAAUCCGAGAAUUCCUUGCGGUUUUCUUCUCUUUGUCGCUGCAGAGUUUUGGCAUCCAGCUUCAGAGACUCCAUCUCCACCAAGUGUCCGAGUGCCUCGUGUCCUCGGAUGUUUCGUCAGUUACAGGGCCAGACAAUGGGUUGCUGAGGACACUGGAGGAUGUGAUAUCCAAAAAACAAGAAAUCCGGGAGGCAGUUGAGCUACCAUUGACACACCAUGAGUUGUACUGCUCUAUGGUCCUUUAGGCACUGGCAAGACCAUGCUUGCUAAAGCGGCGGCACAUCACACUACUGCUGCUUUUAUCUGAGUAAUUGGUUCAGAGUUUCUGCAGACGUACUUGAGUGAGGUUUCCUUGUUUAUGCUCAAGACUUCCAGUGUAAAAAAGUUGGACUUGUUUGAACUGAAGUGUUCGGGGAGAUCUGUUAACACAAGCUGAAGAGAAUGCCCCGGCUAUAAUAUUCAUCGAUGAGAUUGACGCUAUAGCCAGUGCUCGAUUCGAUGCUCAUACUGGGGCUGACGAGAAGUUCAGCGUAUUCUGAUGGAGCUACUCAAUCAGGUUUUCAACUCAAGGUACCAUUGGUCGAACUCAAGAUGUCUUUGUGGAUCAAGGAGCACCUUGAGACUUCAUCUAUGCUGAAGAAGCUACUUUUGAUGCUUGUUCUCUUUGGUACUUCUAUGGUGAUAGCGGAUGGUGUUGUCACACCAGCAAUGUCAGGUUCAUAUAUUUCUGAUGCAUUGUUCGUCGUAUUUCUCUUCACGUAGUCUUAUGAUCUUACAUAUUUGCUUUCAGCAGUACCAUUGUGUUACCAGUUUUCAUCUUCUAACAGUAUUGCUUGCAUUUUUUUUCCUGUCGGUAAAAUCUGCAGUGAUAACUGCUGUCAAUGGCUUGAAGGUUGGAAUAUCUAGUUUUAAUGAAGGUGACCUUGAAUAUGUUGGUUGGUAUUAACCGGUUAAAUAGAAAAAUGUGUAACUGCAUAGAAGUGCAGGAUAGUCACCUUCUAUUUUGAUUUUUUUUUCCGCAUUUCUCAUUGUUCUUGAGUCUGUAAAGGUUUGGAACAUUCAAAGUCGGGCUUGCUGUUGGACCUGCCUUGUUCAUAUGGUUUUGCUGCCUUUCUGGGAUAGGAGUUUAUGGCAUUAUGACAUGAUACAGAAGUAUUGCAGGCAUUCAGUCCUAUAUAUACCUACUACUAUUUUGAAAGAAACCCAACUCAAGCUUGGAUGUCUCCCUGGGCCUGCCUUUUAUGUUAAACAUGUAUGCUUUUUGACCAUAUUCUUAAUGUUAGUUUCAGGUGCAUAGUUUCUGCUUGAGUUACAUAAAAUUAGUUACUGUCUGUCACGUCCUUUUGUUUUUCUUCUAUAGGGAUUCUGAAACUCAUAAAUAUGUUGAGUGCAUUUGUGGUGUUACUAAACAUAACUAGACCUCUUGUUCUUACUAGUAACUGCGUCACAUGCAAUGCAUGUCAUGACCAAAUUCAACAUCCUGCGUCAGAUUGUGGAACCUCUGUCGUAAAUGCAAAACUUCAUGUGCAUAUGGAUUUGACAUUAUGAGAAAGAGAAAACUAAUUUCGAGAUAUAAGCCACUCAGGCUAAAACUAUUAUUUCGAGAUAUGUGCCAUUCACGCUUCUAUUUUACUAAGAUACUAAAACUAUUUGCAUCAUCACAAACAUGAUGCAUUUCUGAAACUCAGGUCCUCACAGAGAUCCUAGAAAGAUUGAAAUGGUUUCCCCCCUCUUAUAUUUAGAGUCAGCAUCCAGUAUAAUCACAGGCCACUUAGUUAAUAGUUAAAGCUACUUCAACUUAAGAUUAGAGGUCAAACAUCAGGGCAAAUAGAUUAGAGAAUAUUACUUUUCCUUGAGCUUUAUGAUUAGUAAUGAUUGUUCUGUAUAUUUGGCAGGAGGAAUAUUUGCUUUAUACUCUUUAGUACUAUGCAGGAAUGCAAAGGCUAGUCUGCUCCCUAGCUAACUGCUCUCUGAGACCCGUAUAUCAGGUUUCCAACUCAAGGUACCAUUGGUAGAACUCAAGAGGUCUUUGUGGAUCAAAGAGCACCUUGAGACUUCAUCUAUGCUGAAGAAGCUACUUUUGAUGCUUGUUCUUUUUUGUACUUCUGUGGUGAUAGCGGAUGGCGUUGUUACACCAGCAAUGUCAGGUAAAAUCAGCUGUGAUGUCUGCUGUAGAUGGCUUGAAGGCUGGAAUAUCUAGUGUCAGUGAAGGUGAAGUGCUCACGACGUUGCAUUUCUUGUUGUUCUAUUCAGUCUGCAAAGGUUUGGAACACGUAAAGUUGGCUUGCUGUUGGACCUGCUUUGUUCAUAUGGUUUUGCUGCCUUUCUGGGACAGGAAUUUAUAGCAUAAUUACAUAUGGUACAGAAGUAUUUUGAAAGAAACCUAACUCAAGCUUGGAUCUCUCCAGGGGGCUGCCUUUUAUGUGAAACAAGAUACGAGGCAAUGUUUGCUGAUUUGCUACUCUGUUAGAUCAGUUCAACUAGUCUAUCAGUUCAGGUAGUCUUUUGUACUGUUGUGGGCUCCAUCUUGCACUUCCAACACCUAGUUGAGAACUUACUAUUGCUCAUAUGUUUUGGAGCUUACCUUUGCAUGUCUUGUUCUUCUAUGCUUUCUACUGGGUUACCCAGGGCAACCUGCAGUUUUUGUGAAGAACUUGACUGAAAAUGAGAAGGUCUUCUGUCUAUCCCGAGUACUAUUUCAAAUCUUAUAUGUUUAUUGCCAUGCAAUGUUUUCACACAUUAUGAAAUAAUUUUUAAUAUUAUAGUGAAACUAAGCUUCUUUUUACUAUGUUUAUCCAUUUAUGCUACAAACUUAUAACAGUUUACUCCAUUUAUGCUGAUUUUACAGUGUUUCUCAGGAUAUACGGUGUUGAAAUUGCUAGCAUUGGAUCUGUUUAGUAUGUGCCUAUCAUGUAAAUUGAAUUUGGUUGUUGAGAAUGGUUGUCUGGUCAAUAUUACUUUGUGCUAAGUUGCCUUCUCUAUCCUGAUGGACUUGCAUGGUAGUGUUUAAUCUCCUUACAACACUGCCGAUCCCACUAUUUGACUUGGAUCUGCAAACAUACAGAAUAUUUAUAACAUAUGUUAUUUUGAAUAAAGAGCAAUGUCCUAAGUCAUUCACGCGCUGAUUUGUUAUAUAUAAUUCCUUUCUUUCAUUUGAACUGUCACCACUACCGCCACACCACAUAAUCUUUCUAAUGCCCAGUAUUUACUUCAGCCUACAGGCAUAGCUGAACUUGGGGUCAUGAUGAUCACUACCAUAUUGGUGACCAUCAUAGUGCUUCUGAUAUGGCAGGUCAACAUCAUUGUCGAUCUAUGCUUUCUCACCAUCCUCCUGUGCCUGCAGCUAUUUUUCUUUUCUUCAGUUAUGGGGAUUGUACCAGAUGGUAGUUGGGUUCUUUUGGUAUUUGCGGCUGUACUGUAUUUGGCAAUGUACCUGAGGAACUAUGAGAUCAAGUUGAAGUACGGAACUGAGGUUAAGCAAAAGCUUUUGGUGGAUUUAAUGAUCUUUGGUCUCUUCCUGACCAUAAUGCCUGCCAUUUAUUCGAUGAUCUUUUUUGUCUGCAUCAAGUGGGUCUCUGUUCCUGUUGUUCUUCAGAAUGAAAGGUUUCUCUUUCGCGGAGUCUGCCCAAAGAGCAACCACAUUUUUAGCUGCAUUGCUUGGUAGAGGCAUAUAAAAAGCUGUUUUGGAAACAUAAUAAAAGUACAUUUCCUCUCAAAAUGAUGUAUACUGAUUACGCUGGAUUGAAACCUGAAUGCAUCUAUUCAUGUUUGGUACCGUUACUGCUACAACAAUCUGUUUUUCAUGUAAUGCCUGAUCUAGAUAUGGAAUAUGCCAGUGUUACUAUCUCUGACAGCUUUGUUUGUGAACAUGUAGGCUGGGCAGGUGGUCAACUGGAGACAAUAUGGGGCAUGGCUCUUUGCGUGGAGCUCUUUAACUUGAGUCCAGAGAUCUUUUUCUACUACUCCCUCUGUAAAGAAAUAUAAGAGCUUUUAGAUCACUACUUUAGGUAACUAAACGUUCUUAUAUUUGUUUACGGAGGGAGUACUAUUGUACUUGAGUCCUCUCUGGACACUAUCAAGAAAACCAUUCGAUUAGAUGCAGAUGUGUUUUGCCAACUAAUGAUACUACUGAAAUUUUCUGAACAACAAUACAAGAUAGAGAGCCCUUGGUCUUAAUAAAGCCAACUUUUUCUUCUACCUUUGAAGUU